rnacentral:rRNA from 1 species
CACAUGCAAGUCGAGGGGAAACGACAUCGAAAGCUUGCUUUUGAUGGGCGUCGACCGGCGCACGGGUGAGUAACGCGUAUCCAACCUGCCCACCACUUGGGGAUAACCUUGCGAAAGUAAGACUAAUACCCAAUGAUAUCUCUAGAAGACAUCUGAAAGAGAUUAAAGAUUUAUCGGUGAUGGAUGGGGAUGCGUCUGAUUAGCUUGUUGGCGGGGUAACGGCCCACCAAGGCGACGAUCAGUAGGGGUUCUGAGAGGAAGGUCCCCCACAUUGGAACUGAGACACGGUCCAAACUCCUACGGGAGGCAGCAGUGAGGAAUAUUGGUCAAUGGACGAGAGUCUGAACCAGCCAAGUAGCGUGCAGGAUGACGGCCCUAUGGGUUGUAAACUGCUUUUAUAAGGGAAUAAAGUGAGUCUCGUGAGACUUUUUGCAUGUACCUUAUGAAUAAGGACCGGCUAAUUCCGUGCCAGCAGCCGCGGUAAUACGGAAGGUCCGGGCGUUAUCCGGAUUUAUUGGGUUUAAAGGGAGCGUAGGCCGGAGAUUAAGCGUGUUGUGAAAUGUAGAUGCUCAACAUCUGCACUGCAGCGCGAACUGGUUUCCUUGAGUACGCACAAAGUGGGCGGAAUUCGUGGUGUAGCGGUGAAAUGCUUAGAUAUCACGAAGAACUCCGAUUGCGAAGGCAGCUCACUGGAGCGCAACUGACGCUGAAGCUCGAAAGUGCGGGUAUCGAACAGGAUUAGAUACCCUGGUAGUCCGCACGGUAAACGAUGGAUGCCCGCUGUUGGUCUGAAUAGGUCAGCGGCCAAGCGAAAGCAUUAAGCAUCCCACCUGGGGAGUACGCCGGCAACGGUGAAACUCAAAGGAAUUGACGGGGGCCCGCACAAGCGGAGGAACAUGUGGUUUAAUUCGAUGAUACGCGAGGAACCUUACCCGGG